UGUACCUUAUUAAGUGAAGUUGUAAUGUUAUAAGAGUAUUUCUGUGAUGUUGUUUUAUCAUCUCAAUGUAAUCUGCGUGCAACCGGGUGAUGGUUAUACAUAUAGAACAGAAAGGAAUGAGAUCUCAUGUAAGAACUAGAAUUAGAAAGCACACUGAUUAUUCUGCACUUUGUGUAGAUUGGUUUUUUAUGCACACUAGAAGAACCUGAACCCUGUGAAUCUGAAUGCUGAGAUGGCGAGCUAAACCCGGAUCGUGGAUGCGGUGUGGCCGACCGUAUGAUCAGACCCAACCUGAUUCGUGUAUCGAGAAGACGUCAGACUCCAGUCCUGCCGCCAGGUAGACGGUAGGAAGGUAGUUCAGAGAGACCGUAUACAUAAAGACCCGCACCAGAACGGAACUCGGAACUUUCACGCACACACUAUUUACGGACUGAACGGAUUAUAUCCUUGACUUGUGUAUAUAUCUACUCUGGGAAGACUGAGUUCUUUCACAAGAAGCAUACAAUUUCCCGAUCAUCUACUCUUCUUUUGUUUUUUCAUUUCACACUGUUUUAUAUUGUGAUUGUUGCAUGACCGAGUGAAGCAAUAAACUGGUCAUUCGUUCAACUUCUUCUUUGUUUUAAACCUACCUCUCCUUCGAUCCUAGAUGUACAAGUCCAGGAUGGAGGGCAGUCUUGUGGCAAUCAUUCUCUCUCCGUUGUAGUCUGUGGUCUUGUUUGGUGGCCAAUCCAAACCACACAGCGAUGGAAGAACAGGGAGUAGACAUGAUGGGAGAGUAGAAGAAGCAACCCCCGGUAUGAUGGUGUUCAAUACAGAGCUAAAGUCCACAAACAAACAGAUCCCCCAACACCAGCUUCUCCAAGGGUUUCAUCACCAUAGGCGCAGGACGAUGGGCCUGUAGUCAUUUAAUCCUGUGAUGGUGGAUUCUUUGCACCCGGGAUGAUGGUGGAGCAUUCAAAGCACGAGGGGACUUCACACAGCUCGAGUGAUCGGUUGAAGAUCAGCGUGAAGAUGGGGCAAGCUCGUCAGCACAGAUUUUCAGGACAAUGGUGACACAUCAAAUAAUAAAAAGAAAGUAGUAUUAGUCAAACAAUUUAUCUAUAUACUGUUGUAUAUCUUUAAACAUGGGGCGGGAGGGUUGUAUAUUUUACGUUUUCUUUCUGGGAUACAUUGACCAUAAAAGCAUUCUCUAUGUGGAUCCACUUUUUGACCAAAUAACUAUGUAUGAUGUGUUAAAAUCGUGCAAUGCCAUCAUCCGUUGAUAGGACAAACUGUGUAACAAAUGUAACAACAGGGUCAACUAACAAGCAUGGCGGCACUGGUGAUCAUGUCAUGUGACACUAAUUCUUUUUGGGAAAUAUUCUACAGAGAUCGCCGAUCACCUUUUUCAGCACAAUGACAAUGUUAAUUUUGUGUUAACAUAAACUGGAAUACUACAAACAAAUCAGUAAUAGCACACUAUCAAACUUUAGUAUUGGUCCACAACUACUGUACCUGAAGAACAUGACUUACUUCUCAAUAGAUCUUUCAAGACAGCUGCUAAAAUGUCAGUUCUGUCUUUAUUAAAUCACUUCUUAAUAGAUUCUUAUCAACAAUAAUUUAUUCUACAUUUGUACCUGUUUUUCUGCCUCAAAUCCCUAUUAAACUUAAAUCUGAACACAAA